AUGGGACGGAGACGACUCCCAGACUCUUAAAGGAAACGGGCACUGAGGUCUGUGCUUAUUUAGAUUGACAAGGCAGUGUGGAGGAGAGCUCCAAACACCACUAGUUACACACAGGUGUCCGCCCUCAACCGUAAUGGGGACGCCUCUUCGCAGGCCACGUCAAGUAGUUCCUUCUUGGAAAUGAGCAUGAGGAAAGGUAGGGAGACACCGUGCCGGAGACAAAGUAAUGAGUUUUGUUGAAGAUGGUCCCCCGGCCGCCUAAGAGCAGCAGCUAAGGCAGUAGCCAUUGCUCCAGCGGCAGCACCGGUAGCAACAGAGUUUGCUGCCGAAUGUUGGCGGAGUGGAGCAGCAACGAUAGCAUCUCUGAUCUCUGAUAUCGCAGCAGCGAUAACAGCAGCGUCCUGAUAGGAUGUCUGGCAAUAGUUUCAACUGUCGCCAUUCCGCAAUGGGCUGGGCACCUAAAAAAUAUUCAAGGGGAAUUGAGAACGGUGCAGAUGGAAGAAUUGUGCCCAAUGAGAACGGAAAAUGCACGUGUUUACAUGUACGAGCUGUCUCUAUUUCCUUGCCUAAAGGAGUUGUGUGGAAGAAGGGAACCUGCAACCAAGGGAAAUGAACAACUCACCUGUGGGAAUGCACGUCUGCCCAGCUGCGAGGGAGGAGAAGAUGGCAAGUGCAACAAGGAGGAGUCCCGGAAGUAUAACCAGACGCUUUGCAGCCAUCUCCCUCUCUCUCUCUGAAACCGUACUACCGUAGCUUCUUGUAACAAUGGUGCCUCGGGUUCCUUGAGGUCCUUUAUUGACGUUUGUUUUGGUCCUCUAAUUAG
rnacentral:lncRNA from 1 species